rnacentral:tRNA from 1 species
UCUAAUAUGGCAGAUAAAUGCUAUGGACUUAAAAUCCAUAUAUAAAGAUUAAUCUUUUAUUAGAA